rnacentral:rRNA from 1 species
GACAGAGGGUGCAAACGUUGCUCGGAAUUACUGGGCGUAAAGCGUGCGCAGGCGGCUUUGCAAGACAGAUGUGAAAUCCCCGAGCUUAACUUGGGAACUGCCAUUGAUACUAUUUGUCUUGAAUACUGUGGAGGUUAGCGGAAUAUGUCAUGUAGCGGUGAAAUGCUUAGAUAUGACAUAGAACACCAAUUGCGAAGGCAGCUGGCUACACAAAUAUUGACACUGAUGCACGAAAGCGUGGGGAUCAAACAGG